rnacentral:lncRNA from 1 species
GGCAAAGCCCUGGUGCUUCUGUCUUUCCCACCUGUCUUGUUCUGGCUGCUUCAGGUGUGGUGCUGUGGACCAACAGUGAUGCUGUUGCCUGAGACCUGAGAUGCCCAUCUAUAGGCAGGACACGGGGACCUGAUGAAUUGGAAAGUCCAUUUUUACAAGGCCCUGGGAGACCCAAGGCACAUAGUUGAGGAAACACCGCUAUCUGUUCUAAGGUUACAGCAUGCUGUGAAGAAAAACUCCUAAUGAUGCAAAAGCCGCAGGGAGAAAACCUUAUUUUGUGAUUUACGCUUAUGAGCAGUCACAGCACACGUCAAGAGUAUGCCAUGGGACACACUUCUACUGUAGAGAAUCUGUUAUGUACUGUAUGGAAGCAUCACCUAUCCAUAAGAAGCUGAUGGCCUGCUACCUGAGGCAGGAAGGAAAUAGGUGGAAGCUCUGGUAGGGAAGAUGAGUCUGGGAUAAUCAGGCGAGGGGACAGAAUUGCCCCUGGCCAUGGAAUAGAAUAAACGCGUUGGUUAAGUUACAAUGGAGUCAGAACAAGCCCAAGCUUGUAAUUCAGUCUCAGGUGUCUUUAUUCUGGGAACAAAGAGGCUAGGAGGAAAAGCCUGCAGCUGCAUUGCUAUAGUUUUAUAAUUGCUAUAAUUUUAUAAUUAUAAUUAAGUUGCUUUUCCACCUUUAAGAUAUCAACUUUAGUUGUAUAGUAAAUGUUUAAAUGUUUAAGGUUCAUGUUGUUGUAGACAUGGCUACCCUUGAACUCAGUCGUGUGGCCCAGCCUGAAUCUGGUUUUUGUUUUUCAAAUACAAACUCACAAAGGAAGACUAGUAGAAAAGAAAAUUUCAAUUCAAAGGUUUUUAAUUUCCUUAAAUAUUUCUUAUAUGUACUGUUCCACAUUGUGGAAAUAAACUAAGCAGAACAUUGAACGUUUUUGAACAAUGGUACAAAUAUAUAUAUAGACAAACCUAAACAGGCAACAGGCUUCAAUUGGAAGUUUAUGCUACAAAGAUGGUACUUGGGAAUCCAGCUGAAAAGAGGCCGGUUCUCAAUCCUUUGUGGUCACUGCAGCUGUACUCUGUAUGCACCUAUUAGCAAUUUAACCUAAAGAAGAGAAUGAAUGUGUCAGUACACAAAUCCCACCUUGUAAGGACAUCCAAGUUAUUGCUAUAUUUAAUCCCACUAGUUAAUAUAUUGGGUAAUCAUUAUUGGAAUGGUCUAAGUAGUGCAGCAUACUUUUUUCAUAUGGAGAGAUCUUUCCUAUGAGGGUAGUGACAGUUUAGUACUGAAGUCAAGUCAAGAUUUGGAGUGCUCAGCAGGGAUGUUCCCCCAGACUUGCCAAGCUUCAUCAGAGAGCCAAAUUCCAACACUUAGACCCAUCUGUUUGCCCAACAUAGACAUUCUAGUAGAAAGAACUUGUCUGAACUAUGUCUACUGACAUUUCCAGUGACAGUGAAUUUAUUAAUAUUACUAUUAUUAUGUGAGCAGUUACUGUGUAAAUACGAAGCAAAGAUUUUCACCUUGGCAAAGGGUGCUUCCGUCAACCUUAUAAACAACUUAUUGGGACCAGCAACAGGACUGAAUGAAUAAACAAAGUGACUGUCCUAGAGGGGAAAGAGAUGAGAUAAAGUCAGACUCAAGUCAGAGCUGUGACAUUUAUAAGAGACCAGGAACUCAAAACAGCGAACUGAGGGUUUUUUUGUUUUUUUUAAUUUUGAGAUAGGAUCUCUCUAUGUAGCCCCCCAAAAGCCUCUCUCAAGGCUUAGCAGGUCUGCUAAGAGUUCUAGGCUACUUAGGGCCGAAAUAAAAACAACACAUGGCUCCAUUCUAUAUAAGGCAUUAAUUUAUUAGCUUUUGGGAAGAGUAAGAGUGAUGGUGUGCUAUAAUUAUCUAUUAUAUUCUCACACUGUUGUCUAAGGACAUAUGGUAGCACGAUUUAAAGUGAAUAAACAUGUUCU